GGUUGAUCCUGCCAGCAAUCAUAUGCUUGUCUCAAAGAUUAAGCCAUGCAUGUCUAAGUAUAAGUUUUUAUACAACGAAACUGCGGAAAGCUCAUUAUAUCAGUUUUAAUCUAUUUGUUCAUUUUCUAUUGGAUAACUGUAGGAAUUCUAGAGCUAAUACAUGUAUCAAAUCCGGCUAAAUUAAACUUAAAAGGACGUCUUUAUCUACUUGAAACCAAUUUGAAGUGAAUUCAGUAAACAAACAAAUCGCAAUCACAAGAUUGUGAUAAUACAAACGAGUUUCUGCCCUAUCA
rnacentral:rRNA from 1 species